UACGGAGGGAGCUAGCGUUGUUCGGAAUUACUGGGCGUAAAGCGCACGUAGGCGGCUUUGUAAGUUAGAGGUGAAAGCCCGGAGCUCAACUCCGGAACUGCCUUUAAGACUGCAUCGCUUGAAUCCAGGAGAGGUGAGUGGAAUUCCGAGUGUAGAGGUGAAAUUCGUAGAUAUCUGGAGGAACACCGGUGGCGAAGGCGGCAUCCUGGACCGAUAUUGACGCUGAUGCGCGAAAGCCAGGGGAGCAAAGCGGGAUUAGAUG
rnacentral:rRNA from 1 species